AAAUAUCAUGAGUAUCAUUGAUUUUGGGCAUUGUGUUGUCAUUUGCUUGCAACAUGGAUUUUUCACACACAUGCCAUACCUCCUUCCUUACCUUUUCUGACCAAGCAACACACCUUUUUCAUGCAUGCACAUGAUGCCCCAAAUUGGCCAAAUAUGGAAAUGUUCCAUUUUCCCUUCCUUCUCUUUUCACUCUCUCCCAAGUCCCAUG
rnacentral:lncRNA from 1 species